rnacentral:misc_RNA from 1 species
UUUCCGUAGGUGAACCUGCGGAAGGAUCAUUAUCCAUCCAAAACCAGGUGCGGUCGCGGCCUCCAGGUGAUAACCUGGGUGGUUUCGCGCCGCAUUCCUGCAUCCUUUUUUUACGAGCACCUUUCGUUCUCCUUCGGCGGGGCAACCUGCCGCUGGAACUUAACAAAACCUUUUUUUGCAUCUAGCAUUACCUGUUCUGAUACAAACAAUCGUUACAACUUUCAACAACGGAUCUCUUGGUUCUGGCAUCGAUGAAGAACGCAGC